UACGUAGGGUGCGAGCGUUGUCCGGAAUUAUUGGGCGUAAAGAGCUCGUAGGCGGUUUGUCGCGUCGACCGUGAAAACUUGGGGCUUAACUCCAAGCUUGCGGUCGAUACGGGCAGGCUCGAGUUCGGUAGGGGAGACUGGAAUUCCUGGUGUAGCGGUGAAAUGCGCAGAUAUCAGGAGGAACACCGGUGGCGAAGGCGGGUCUCUGGGCCGAUACUGACGCUGAGGAGCGAAAGCGUGGGGAGCGAACAGG
rnacentral:rRNA from 1 species